UUAGAUUUAUAGGGUUUCUUUCGCGCCACGUAGCCUAUCUCCUAGCCUACCUCCUGAAAAACACAACGUAUCACAACGGACAUUUUCCUCCUUCCGUCUAAAGCGCAAACCGCGCGUGAAAGGGUCUUCAAGGAUUACACUAGCCCGCGUUCGCUAUGAAUCUACUGAGGUGGAUCCAUCUUUGCCAUUGCUCUUUUAAAGACGCUAUGUUCCUUACAGUGUAUAUGCUUCGUCGGAGUAAUUGAAUUCACAGAAACCUCCGCAACCGCGAUAAUAUAAGGUGUAUGAUGAAAUGCCUAGGAGAAGAUGUCAUGGAAGACAGCCUAAGUAUUGUCUUCACUUGAGGAGGAAAGUAUAUGCAAUGAAAUGCUCCACCAACACUUUCGUAGGCAAGAGUUUAUUGUAUUCCACAUGUGAUUACAUUCUUUCCAUUACAAACACAGACAUGACAGAAAGCAUUCUGCAAAAAUCAAUUAUCGUCUCUUUUGCUUUAGGGUCAUUAAAAUCAUGUUCUUGGGAAAAUUCAAACAACAGUUACGCUUAGUUGGUUUUUUUGGCUAUCAAUUGUCAUUUACAUAGGAUAUGAAACCCUCUGAUAAGGACCAAAAAUUCAAAUGGUUCCUUUUUGGACAUAAAUGAAACAGGACAGAGACUGACUAUGUAAUUUAGUCUUUUUUUUAAAAUUAUUAUGCAACUGUAAAACCAUGAUCUUUAUGAAUGAAUUUUGUUACCAUAUGUUAAAUCAUUUCCUGUGCUAGGAAUGAUGUAGAUGUACUACCAAAUGGCUCAAAUGCUUCAACCUUAUUUAUAAAGAACAAUUGUAGGAUGUUCAAGAUUUAAAAAUAUAUCUAUUCUUUUCCUUUUUAUUUUAAUUUCUAUCUUCUUAUAAUCAUAUGGAGGAGAAUAUAGAUAUUGUUAUGAAUGAGCCGCCUGUUUCAAGUUAUACUCCAUAUGAAAAAUAAAAAAGAACAACCAAGCAAACUGACAUACGGUUGGCAUCAAAUAUACAAAAGACCAGCAGAUGAUGCGGACGAUUGUGAACUUGACGAAUUCAGAACACCUUAAACACUGGUGCAGAAGUAUCCCCAGCAAAUCAAGAUUAUUUUUAUGAGAUACGUAGAGCUAAUUUUGUUUUGUUUUCUCAAAGUGAAUAUUUAUUUUUGGUGCAAAUGCAAAGUUUCUGUCUAUCUCCUUAAGAAUUUGAAAUGAAAGGAUAAAUGUCAUAAAUCAAAACUUUA